UUUUAUGAUUCAUACUAAUCAGAAUGAUGUGUAAAGAUCAAUAAGGUCUCUCUUUAAACUUUAGUUAAUCGGAAUGCCCUUUCUAAAAUAAUCAUUGCUAGAUCAUUGUGAUACAAAAAGACAAAAUAUCAGUCCUGCUGAAGAAUACAAAGGAUUUACAUUUACUAGAACCUACAUUUUAGCUGCUUAAAGACACUCUGUGUUUGUGUGCUGAAACGCUUUAGAUGUAAUGUCUUUAUCCCUGCAGGCCUAUUUUUUAAAAGUACUGAUUUCAUGAAAACACUUUUAUGAAUCACCUUAGUAACUACUCGGAGCUGUAAAGAAGGCAGUCAGAAGAGUUACCUGUAAUUGUUUUAAACUGUAGUGUAAAGUGGAUGUGAAUGCUUCUCAGAGAGAAGCAUUAAUUUCAAUUACAGCUAUUGUUAUGCAAGUGCUAUGUGUCUCAAGGGCUUCUCUAUGAGAAGCUUGUGAUUGGACACAGAUCAUCAGUCCUUAGAAGGAGGACCAGAUGUACAGUGAGGAGACUGACCUGUCGCUGGAAUAAAGGUGAACUGGUAUAGGGUUAGCGUUAACUACCAAAACUUAAUUUAGUUCCUGAUACGUGAAUCUAUUUUGAGUUAUUUUUCGUUGAUUGCAUGAUUUUUUUAAAAAAAACAUUCUUUUUCUAUUUUUAACAUUUUGUUCCAAGAUAAAGUUGUGUUAGGUAUAUAAAUAGGAUACUAAAAUAUAGCCUUUUCUGUCUUAAACCCCUCCCCCAAUAUAUAAUAUGCAUUGGUGCACUGAAAGAGAAACCCUUAAAUGACAGUGGAACAAACAUACAGCGUAAAAUUGUGGUUAACAUUUUAAACAAUUAAUUAAAUAGAAAGGUACUUGCCUACUGGUGUCAG